rnacentral:rRNA from 1 species
UACGGAGGUGGCAAGCGUUGCUCGGAAUCACUGGGCGUAAAGGGCGCGUAGGCGGGGAGGUAAGUCGGGUGUGAAAUCCCUCGGCCCAACCGGGGAACUGCGCCCGAGACUGCUUCUCUUGAGUCCCGGAGAGGAAGAUGGAAUUCCCGGUGUAGCGGUGAAAUGUGUAGAGAUCGGGAGGAACACCGGUGGCGAAGGCGGUCUUCUGGACGGUGACUGACGCUGAGGCGCGAAAGCGUGGGGAGCAAACGGG